rnacentral:rRNA from 1 species
GAUGAACGCUGGCGGCGUGCCUAAUACAUGCAAGUCGAGCGAACAGACGAGGAGCUUGCUCCCCUGCCGUUAGCGGCUGACGGGUGAGUAACACGUGGAUAACCUACCUAUUAGUCUGGGAUAAUUUCGGGAAACCGGAGAUAAUAAUGGAUAAUAUAUUCAACCGCAUGGUUCAAUAGUGAUAGACGCUUUUCAUGUCUCUUAUAGACGGUUCCGCGUUGGAUUAGCUAGGUGGUAAGGUAACGGCAUACCAAGGCGACGAUCCGUAGCCGACCUGAGAGGGUGAUCAGCCACACUGGAACUGAGACACGGUCCAGACACCUACGGGAGGCAGCAGUGGGGAAUCUUGGACAAUGGGCGAAAGCUUGACGCAGCAAUGCCGCGUGAGUGAUGAAGGUCUUCGGAUCGUAAAGCUCUGUUAUUAGGAAAGAACAAAAGUAUGUGAAACUAUGGACGUUUUGACGGUACCUAAAGAAAAAGCCACGGCUAACUUCGUG